CUCAUCUCCCCACAUCCCUGUUCCGUAGCCAAUGUUUCCUUUGCUGUCCCCCUGCCCCAACUCAGUUAAUAACUGUGCCAGUGUCUGUCUGAGGGACUAUGGGAAGGGAAGAGACUUGUUGAGGGUUUUUUUUUGUGCCAAACUGACAAGCUGUGAUUGCGCACAGCGAGGCUGCGGUUGUACCUUGUUUUCAAGCACCUUUACUGAAGGGGCUUGUGAAGGGGAGAGGGCUCCUAGACCACAACAGCACAGAAAUAUUGGACUGUGCCCAGUGCUCUCUCCUCAGUCGGAUUUUGCUGUAGUACAAUGAGAGAAAAGGGCUGCUGUGGGUCUGUGCUGCAGCUGCUGGUGUGCAGGUGAGAUGGUGGUGGUAUUGUCACUGCUGUGGAUGUGUCACAGCCCUCAAAUCCAUUCCUUGCUGCUUUGUCCUUUUUUUUUUUUAAUUUAUUUCUUGAUCUUAUUUAUUAAGCUUAUUUAUUGUUUGAAUAUUGUAUUAUUUGUAUAAAGUAUGCUGACUGGUUGCACCAAGGAGACAGGAGGCAGUGCCUUUGGGCCUCCCUUACUGUCCACGUCCCAUGUUGAUGUUCUUACACUCACCGUGUCUCUGUAUAUAAUAAAGUGUGAGCGUGGGCUGGAAAUAA